rnacentral:rRNA from 1 species
AUACGUAGGGGGCGAGCGUUGUCCGGAAUGAUUGGGCGUAAAGGGCGCGUAGGCGGCCCGGUAAGUCUGGAGUGAAAGUCCUGUUUUUAAGGUGGGAAUUGCUUUGGAUACUGUCGGGCUUGAGUGCAGGAGAGGUAAGUGGAAUUCCCAGUGUAGCGGUGAAAUGCGUAGAGAUUGGGAGGAACACCAGUGGCGAAGGCGACUUACUGGACUGUAACUGACGCUGAGGCGCGAAAGAGUGGGGAGCAAACAGGAUUAGAUACCCUGGUAGUCCACACUGUAGACGAUGAAUGCUAGGUGUAGGGUGUAUCGACCCCUUCUGUGCCGCAGUUAACACGAUAAGCAUUCCGCCUGGGGAGUACGGCCGCAAGGUUGAAACUCAAAGGAAUUGACGGGG